GCUCCUGUACCGGAAGAAACAGCCAGAGGGCGAGAUCAGGGAGGGCCACGCCCACAGGGCUGGCCCUUCCGGACUCCACUCUCUUGACGACUGGCCCCUCCCCAUUCAGGCCCACGGGUAUCCACGUCCGGGACAUCCAUCUCAGAUUCCUGGGGAGGAGUCAGCAUGGCUGCCUGGGGGAGCUCCUGACAGUCACCCCUCAGAGGACAGAGCUGGCACUUGGAGGGAAAGAGUCUUUCCCAGAGCCUGGGUUCAUCCUCACUCUUACUUGAGGCCGAUGCUAUCUUCACCCAGGGGAGGCCGGCGUCUGCGGGGAGUGGGCUGAGUUCGAGGCCUUCGAAUGAACCCAGGGGGCAGCCAGAGGGCCCCAUGCUCACGGCGCCGCCGCCGGAUGAGCUGAAGGACGAGAAGAGCCCCAAGGGCCAGGAGGAGCACCCCAGCCACUGGUGAGCACAGCACAGGCCAGGGAAGCUGGUUGGUUGGUGGUGCUGUGCCAGCACGAGGAUGGGCAGCCAGCAGUGGUCCUGGCAGUAGGUGCUCCAGGGCCCCCACUGCAGCCAUUGCAGCAAGGAAGCGGAGCAGGAGCCCAGGGUCCCAGGGACAGC